rnacentral:rRNA from 1 species
CCAAUAGCGUAUAUUAAAGUUGUUGCAGUUAAAAAGCUCGUAGUUGAAUUUCGGGAUUGACGUGACGGUCGUGCCUUAAGGGGUAUGAACUGUUGCAGUCAAUUUCUCACCUUCUGGAGAAAUAUGAUGUCCUUAAUUGGGUGUCAUAUGGAACCAGAACUUUUACCUUGAAAAAAUUAGAGUGUUUAAAGCAGGCAUAUUGCUCGAAUACAUUAGCAUGGAAUAAUAGAAUAGGACGGCAUGGUUCUAUUUUGUUGGUUUCUAGGAUCACCGUAAUGAUUAAUAGGGAUAGUUGGGGGCAUUAGUAUUCAAUUGUCAGAGGUGAAAUUCUUGGAUUUAUUGAAGACUAACUACUGCGAAAGCAUUUGCCAAGGAUGUUUUCAUUAAUCAAGAACGAAAGUUAGGGGAUCGAAGACGAUCAGAUACCGUCGUAGUCUUAACCAUAAACUAUGCCGACUAGGAAUCAGACGAUGUUAAUUUUUUAAUGACUCGUUUGGCACCUUACG